AGCCUUAGGACAUCUGCGGUCGUUAGC
rnacentral:sRNA from 1 species